rnacentral:rRNA from 1 species
CACGUAGGGGGCGAGCGUUGUCCGGAUUUAUUGGGCGUAAAGAGCUCGUAGGCGGUUUGGCAAGUCGGGUGUGAAAUUUCGAGGCUCAACCUCGAAACGCCACUCGAUACUGCCAUGACUGGAGUCCGGUAGAGGAGUGUGGAAUUCCUGGUGUAGCGGUGAAAUGCGCAGAUAUCAGGAGGAACACCGGUGGCGAAGGCGGGUCUCUGGGCCGAUACUGACGCUGAGGAGCGAAAGCGUGGGGAGCGAACAGG